rnacentral:rRNA from 1 species
UACAGAGGGGCAAGCGUUGUUCGGAAUUACUGGGCGUAAAGGGCGCGUAGGCGGCCUUCUAAGUCGAACGUGAAAUCCCCGGGCUCAACCCGGGAACUGCGUCCGAUACUGGAAGGCUUGAAUCCGGGAGAGGGAUGCGGAAUUCCAGGUGUAGGCGGUGAAAUGCGUAGAUAUCUGGAGGAACACCGGUGGCGAAGGCGGCAUCCUGGACCGGUAUUGACGCUGAGGCGCGAAAGCCAGGGAGCAACGGG